rnacentral:rRNA from 1 species
CAGCAGCCGCGGUAAUACGUAGGUGGCGAGCGUUGUCCGGAUUUAUUGGGCGUAAAGGGAGUGUAGGCGGUCUUUUAAGUCUGAUGUGAAAGCCCACGGCUCAACCGUGGAGGGUCAUUGGAAACUGGGAGACUUGAGUGCAGAAGAGGAGAGCGGAAUUCCAUGUGUAGCGGUGAAAUGCGUAGAUAUAUGGAGGAACACCAGUGGCGAAGGCGGCUCUCUGGUCUGUAACUGACGCUGAGGCUCGAAAGCGUGGGGAGCAAACAGGAUUAGAUACCCCCGUAGUCCCUGUCUCUUAUAC